ACAACUUUCAGCAACGGAUCUCUUGGCUCUCGCAUCGAUGAAGAACGCAGCGAAAUGCGAUAAGUAAUGUGAAUUGCAGAAUUCAGUGAAUCAUCGAAUCUUUGAACGCACCUUGCGCCCUUUGGCUAUUCCGAAGGGCAUGCCUGUUUGAGUAUCA
rnacentral:rRNA from 1 species